rnacentral:lncRNA from 1 species
AAACACACCUCCUACACAAGCUACCCAGGAGGCGAGGCAGCUGAGGCAUUUAUACACCAACUCCCGUCAGUCCUUGACUGAGGGCCACUGCUGUGUUAAUGAUCUGGGAGAGCAGGCUCCAGCAGACGGAGAAAGCCUUUAGACAGAGAAGUGCAGAUCGGCAGCUGGAAGUUGGGCAGAAGCCUGAAAUGAAAGGGAGAAGGAAUAUGGGUGUGGCAUCGACAGCUUCUGGAAGAGCACGCUUAUUACACCUUCCCUGUCUGCAGGCCUGUGCGAGGCACCACUUCCAUAAUAAAGCCAUCAUAACGGGAGGAGGCCCAAACAGCCUGUGAUGAGUGAGGUGCAAGUGGAAAGGAACUGUGGCCGCCAGCCCUCAGCCUUAGCCAAACUCCCAGCUGCCAGCCAGCAGGAACCUGCCAGCCAUAAGUGAGCCAUCUUGAAAGCGCAUCCUUCAGCCCCAGUCAAGCCAUCUCAGCUGGCGCUGUGUGGCACAAAGAUGAACCAUCCUUGUUCAUCCCUACCUACAAUGCAGAUACACACAGAGGCACACUGGAAACGCAAUAGAACAAUGGCUGCCAAUUUAAAAGCAGAAGUUAAGAAGAGCAAACCCGAAUGUACAGCGAGAGAGCUUCGGGCUGGAUCAGCUCCCGGCAGAAGCGAGACUGGAAAUCUUGGAUUCUGUUGCCUCUUCUCUCCUCUGUGAUGUGGAAGAAGAUGUCAGCACCUGGGUGUGGACUUGGUCAUUAACGCUUAUUUCCCAACCUUUGCCAAGCUGCCUAACUCCCUGGAGUCUUAGUUUUCUCAUGUGUGGGAGACAAUGUGUUCUUUAUCCUGAAGUCAUUGUGAGGACUGAGUGAGAGGAUGUAUGUGGAAGGAAGCACCAAGCAUGGUUCCUGGUAUAUACUAGGUACUCAGUAAAUGUGGACUAGCGUGAAUAUGAACUCCACUCACUUCGUGCCCCCUCAUGCUGGCUGGUCCCCGGUGCUCUGGGCUUCCCAAGUCAUGGCAGUUUUCCCAAAGUGGCCCCUAAAGUCAUGUCAGUCCUUGGGGCCUCAUUACUUAGGUUUCCUGUGCCAUCUGCUCCUUUCCAGUCAUAGAUUCCAUGCUCCGUUCUGACAGAAGCUUGCUUCUGCUGGCUGUCACACUUAAAAAGUGGCGGAUGACCAUUCGAGCGUUAGAUGAUAAUGAUUUAUGAACACCAUCCCUCCAGACAGCAUUUGCAGUAUUACAAGUUUUGCUUUUAUUUUAUUUGUCACUAGGAAGGCACUGAGAACAAAAGGAAACUCUCUUGAAUGGUGGGAUCGAGGCACUGUAGCACAUUUUUUAUGGAGGGGAAGGAGGCUUUUCACCUGGAAACCUUUCAAAUCACACCCUAUAAGUAGCUCACGAGUCUCUCUACUCAUACUGAUCUCUUCAUCUGCUGAGUUGAACAGUGUCCCCCAAAUUCAUGGCCACCCGGGACCUGUGAAUGUGACCUUAUUUGGAAAUAGGGUCAUUGCAGAUAUACUCAAAUUAAGACAAGGCCAUAUUGGAUUAGGGGGAGCCCUAAAUUCAAUAUGACUGGAGUCUUUAUAAGAAGAGGAAAAUUUGGCCACAGAGAUAUAGACCUACGGGGUAUCAGGCCCUGUGAAGACAGAGUCAGAGAUUGGAACGAGGUGUCAAGUCAAGGAUCAACAAGGAUUGCUGACAACCAGAGCAAGAUGGAAGAGGCAAGGAAGGGCUCUUCCUUAGAGACUUCAGAAGGAACAGGCCCUGCCAACACCUUGACUGUGGACUUCUAGCCUCCAGAACUUUGAGGGAAUAAAUUUCUGUUGUUUCAAGCCGCCCAGUCUAUG